rnacentral:rRNA from 1 species
AGCAGCCGCGGUAAUUCCAGCUCCAAUAGCGUAUAUUAAAGUUGUUGCAGUUAAAAAGCUCGUAGUUGAAUUUCGGGAUCAGUACGCCGGUCGUGCCUUCGGUAUGUACUGGUGUCACUGGUUCCUCCCUUCUGAAGAACCGUUAUGCCAUUCAUUUGGUGUGACGGGGAAUCAGGACUGUUACUUUGAAAAAAUUAGAGUGUUUAAAGCAGGCUCGCGCUUGAAUACAUUAGCAUGGAAUAAUGAAAUAGGACGUUUGAUCUUAUUUUGUUGGUUUCUAGGAUCGACGUAAUGAUUAAUAGGGAUAGUUGGGGGCAUUAGUAUUCAAUUGUCAGAGGUGAAAUUCUUGGAUUUAUUGAAGACUAACUACUGCGAAAGCAUUUGCCAAGGAUGUUUUCAUUAAUCAAGAACGAAAGUUAGGGGAUCGAAGACGAUCAGAUACCGUCGUAG